AAAUGGAUUUUCUACAAUGGAUUUAAGAAACUUUACUUUAUCUUCUCAUUCCUGUGAAAAUAUUUAGGGGACGAUUUGUCUGUUUGAGUUUAUAGCACUCAUUAAAUUAUCAAAAGAUGUUAUAAUUUUUUUUCUUUUUUCUUAUUUUUAGUUUAUUGAUAUUAAUACUUUCAUUGGUCUGAUAAAACAUUUAUAUUAUGGAUCUAUUUUUUUUCUCAGAAUAUAUAUCAUUACUGAUAUGUUUCCAGUUACUUUUUAAAGGACAUGAUAGCAGAUGAUCAGAUGUUCUGAGACACUGUAAUUGCCCGUUCUGAUUUCACUUGAAAGUUUUUCUGAAGUCUAGUUCUUAGAAAUCUCUUUUAAAAGGUAAAAGAUCAAAUUGAUUUUCUAUAUAUUUUAAGAUGCCAUCAUUCAAUUGCUGUCCAUCUACAACUGUUCGGUGUAUACUUCUGUGUGGUAUUCAUGGUGCUGACUCACCAGUUCUUUCUAGAGAACAGAUAACAAAAGGUUUAUUCACCUGAAGGUUACAUUUCUGGUACGUUUUUCCUGUUCUUGGACACAUAUCUUAGGCAAAAACAUUUUUUUCAUUGAAUAGGAAACCUUCUUGGUCUCACUUCUAUUCAUGACACAUGGGCUGGAAAAGUAUAGUUAAGAGCCAGAGAGUUUCAGAGAUGUUUACUUUGGUCCAUGUGGCGUUGUCACUCAGAGAGAAAGAGAUCAAGGGAGAGCACAAGCAGGGGGAAUGGCAGGCAGAGGGAGAAGCAGGUUCCCUGCCGAGCAAGGAGCCUGAUGCGGGACUUGAUCCCAGGACUCUGCGAUCAUGACCUGAGCCGAAGGCAGACGCUUAACCGACUGAGCCACCCAGGUGCCCUAUAUUAAUAUUUUUAUAUUUAUGAAGGAAAUAAGAGGUUCUAGCACUAAGAUGAAAAGGCCAAAAUGGAAAACUAUUGACUAGUUUCUGCACUUAAUGAAUCCUUUUUAAACUGGGAGUACACUUAUCAUGAUGAGAACUGAAUAAUGUACAGAAUUGCUGAAUCACUAUGUUGUACACCUAAAACUAAUAUAACACUGUAUAUUAAUUAUACUAAAAUUUAAAAAAUUGAUAAUAGUCUUCUCUGAUAUAAUCUCUUCUUUUUUUGGAUAAGCUUAUAAUUGAAAGCCAAAUGUAUAUGAAUUACAAACAAUUUGAACAAGUUAUACCCCAAGUGAUAUAAUUAAUUAUACAUUUACUUAUAAAAACAAUAACGUGAAAUUUCUAACCCUAUUGUUAUGAAACUGUUAAACUGUUUUCAAUGUGGAGGGAGAAGGAGAAAGAAAAUCUUAAGCAGGCUCCACACCCAGCACAGAGCCCAUGUGGGGCUCAAUAUCACGACCCUGACAUCAUGACCUGAGCCAAAAUCAAGAGUUGGGCACUUAACUGAAUGAACCACUCCAGUGCCCUGAAAAAGUUGGUCUUAAGUAUACUGUCAUAUUGUAACAUAAUAAAGAAUAUAUUAAAGGAUUUCUAUGCCAUUAAUAUUUGAGUUGUUUAAUCAUAUUUGAAGCAAUCAUUACCCUCUUUUGAUUUAUGAGACUCAAAUUCCAUAAUAAAUUUUUAUUUACAAUUUAAUUUUAUUUAUAAUUUUUAUGCCAGGUUUGUUUCACAGUGAAAUGGUGCCAUUCUUUAUUUAGCAUUUAUUGUACCCAGGCACUGUGCUAGGCACUUACAUUAUCUUCUUUGAGUUAUAUUGAUAGUAAUUGGAUAAUAAUUAUUAUACAUAGUAAUUGGAAGAUCUGGGUUUUAGUCUUUGUUAUCUGACUGCUCUUUCUAUUAUAACAUGCUGCCUUCCAUUCAGUGCCUACUGUAUAUCAGGCGGAGUCAAAGUAGAGUUUCAGUAAGUGCUCACCAAAGCUU
rnacentral:lncRNA from 1 species